rnacentral:lncRNA from 1 species
CUGAUCUGAUCUUAGAAGAAGUUGAGAAAAACAAGAGAUAGGUUCAAGAAAAAACCAGCAGACCUUCACAACACUACCAACUGAUUCUUGAGAGUUUUAAGGAUGGCUUCAAGUGGUUUCUCAACACCUCUACCCUCAGUAUUUAUAGGUGAAAAUUAUGAUUUUUGGGCAGCAAAAAGAAGGCUUACCUGAAGGCAUACGACCUGUGGGAGACAACUGAAACUGGAAGUGAACCACCACCACUUAGGGCAAAUCCAACAAUUGAUCAACUUAAGCAACAUGGUGAAGAAGUUGCUAAGAAGUUUAAGGCUCUCUCAUGCAUCCAAUCUACUGUUUCUGACGCCAUCUUCACAAGGAUAAUCACUUGUGAAAUGGCCAAGGAAGCCUAGGACAGUUUGGAGGAGGAAUUCAGGGGCAAUGCAAGAACACAGAAAAUGCAAGUAUUAAACCUAAGGAGGGAGUAUGAAACUUUGAAGUUGAAAGACUCAGAAUCAGUUAAGGAGUAUGCUGAUAGGCUGUUGAAGGUUGUAAAUCAGAUAAGGCCACUGGGAGAUGAUGAAGAAUUGUGGAGAACGUGUUGAUCAGCCUGCCUAAAAAAUUUGAGGCAAAGAUUUCAUUUCUUGAGGAUUCAAGAGACUUGU